GCAGCCGUGGCCUACUGGUUAGCGCUUCGGACUUGUAACCGGACGGUUACCGGUUCGAACCCUGACCAGUA
rnacentral:tRNA from 1 species